CUUAUAACACGACUUUUUUUCAUCAAGAAGAAUAAUUUUCCAUGCUUUGGACAUGUGAUUAAUCCGAUUUCCCGAUUUUUUCGUAUUUUAACCGAAAAUCGGGAAAAAACGGAUUUUCGGACAAUUUUUGGCAACUUUUCAUGCGAUCUAUGUAAAAACUGGAAAAUAUGUUAAAUAAAUUUUAUGUAGCUUUCAGAACUUCAAACAGAUUAUAAAAAUUCGCUCUAGAACUAAAGCUAUUGAAUUUUAGGCAGAUGGUGGCAUUUUGAACAAAUUUUAAGCUUUUGAUGACGUCACAGAAAAUGUGCUGACGCAAGCAAAAAUUUAUUGCCGUCAUUUUGUUCCUUUUGUGACGUACUAUAAGUGUGCCAAGUUUGAUUCAUUUUGAACAAUCCUAUGAAAAGUUAUUGAGGGAGGAGGGGGAGGGGGUCAUAGUAUGUUGGAAAAACCCCGGACUGAGUAGGGUUAAGAUGAAUUACGCACGUUCAUUCAGAAUGUGAAAUUCAGAAUGCGCGUGCGCAAAAUUCGCGAAAUAUUUUGUAAUUUUUUCAAGAUGGUAGACAUCGUCGCAUGCCUGAUAAACACUGUUUUACAAAUUGGAUGCUCUACUGAUUUUGAACAAAGGCUGACUUUCAUGACUACAAAGCGUUUGUUUUAAUUUUAUAAUGUUUGAUAACAUGUUGGCGAAGACAAAAAAAUUGUUGGUGGCUAUGGCGAAAAGCAAGAAAACGAAAGAAGAACAUUUCAUUGUCCAGAACGUAUUUUUUUCCGACAGGGGCAAAAGGAGCAUAUAAAAAUGCCUAAAACUAACAUUAUAAAGUUUUCCAAGCCUAUUCAUAGUUAUUUUUAUUAAUUUCAAACAUUGUAUUACCAGAAGAAAUCAACGUCCUGGUGCUUACAUUUUUUUGCUCUGAAAAAUUUGCCUUCAAAGUCAAGAUAUUUUGGUGGCCUGUAGCUAGCUAUAAAUGGCACUUGAAUGAUGAUGUUAUGAGAGUAUAAUGAAUUUAUCCAUGUGGCAUCAACAACCUGUUAAAGUGUUGGUUUCAAUUGUUUGGGAUACUUUUUGUUGCAAACACAGCUACUAUGCACAUUAUAUGGUUCUUAUUGGAAGACUUAUUUAAAGAAUUAUGUUAAUGUACAGUUUUUAUUUUUAUGUUUGCUAAAUGAAAUACACAAAUUAUAUUGUAA